GAUAAGUGUAGAGCUGUUAAACUUACAAGUCACAGAUAAAAUUGUUUCAAAAUUCAGGCUUAGUCUAACAUUGCUUCUGGUUAUUAGGAAUGCCUGGGCAUGUGAGUGUUUUAGGACAGUGGUACAAGACAAAGAUUUGAGAGGUAAUAGGAGGACAAAUUUCAACUUUCAACAAUUGAAAUUAAAUGCUUGCACAUUUCAAGAACCAAUUUCUGUUUUUAUAGGGAAAGGUGGGCUCAAAUGAACUGAAAUUAAAGAUGACUACUCAGUAGUGAUGAUUGAAAAGAAAAGCCACCUAUAUCCUCUUGCUUAGAUUCCCUUGAGAAGUGAGAGCAAAGUGAGCUGUGUAGCCUAGUAACCAUGGAACAUAUUUCCUGUAUAAUGUUCACAACUUUGGCAAGAUUUUCAUUUGAAGAAGAAGAGAAAGCUGACCUGUUAUGACUGGAUAAUGUUGAACAAGACUGGGAUGUUCUCUCUGUUUCCUG
ensembl:lncRNA